UUAACCUUUCGCACUGGAGGUCUUUUUCGGUGGGGCGUAGCAGCUACUCCGGAUGAUUUUAUAUAGAAGUUAACUCGCAAAAAAAAUUAUAUUCUAAUAACUUGUCUAUAUUUACACGUUUGGAAAUAUGAUUUUGUAAUAUUAAUUUCCGUAUUUUUUUUAUGAUAAUUUAUAAACCAUUCACCAAGAUGCGUUCUUCAAUAUAAUUAAUUUCAUUUUUCAACAGUUGAAAAUCAAGUUCAUCUUCGUUUCAGCUAAUUUCACUUGCGAAGACUAGUUUUUAAGGGUUUCUAAACUAUAAUACCUUUGCCAUGAUCGUCGAAUCCAAACUAAAUUUGGAGACGUUGUCAGAACCAUAGCUUCAAAGGCAUAUGGGAUUAAAUAUUUGAUCUCCAUUUUAAAGUCUAACGCCUUACGCUUGCUAACAAAGAACGCAAACAACUAAGGAACCAAUUUAUCUACCAAUAUCGCACCCAUCAAUCGCAGAUGUCGAAAUCUAACGUAAACAGGGACUGUCGCUUCUCGCUCUCCACUGGAGUUGCAGCUCGGAACACCGUGGUGGCUGACAGUCGCCUCUCGAGUGCAAAGGGUUAAUUAAGUUCAAAUAUAUUACGCUAAUAGUACUUUUACUAAGCUGAUAGUACUAUUACGUUAAUAGUACCUUUUUCACGCGAUUGCCAAACGAAAAGUUCUGUAUCGCGAGAGAGAAACGUAGAAUCUAUUUGGUUUGGCAACUAAGUGAUUGCGGAUUUUGUCAGUACCAUCUAAUGACAAAAUCCGCAACCAUUUAGUUGCCAAGCCAAUGUUUGACGAACGUUUCGUUGGAAAGCAACAAGGGCGCAACUUUUUCGUAGCCAUCGUAAAUGGACCCAAGGCGUAUCGGAAAUACGCUCUCUCGGCGUCGCGUAAAAACAGGAAUUCAAUUCCGUUGCCGGCUAACACGAGCUCCGGUUAAAAAUAAGCUUUCCAGCUAAAGCAAACCCGCGGAAUGUUAAUUCCCUGCUUUCGAUCGGAUCCUGCAAUUAGCUCUAGCAGACCGCUGAUUCCGUAAAACAGCAGAGUUCCGCAUGCGUUUCAUUACAAGCGUAUUCUUACUUUAAAUGCGGCUCGAAGCUCGCGAGUAUUAGAUCGAUUUGAAAGUUCUGUCUGUUUGGUAGUUUCGGUUUUCAAGGAAAGCAGAUCGACUGUACUUUUAUUCGUCGAGUCUACGAUACAGUGUGCGUACGUAUAUUUUUAUCUUGCCGAUUUAUUUAUUUUCCAUUCUAUAAGAGUCUCUUAGUUUUUGUCGUUAGAACAUUUCUAUCGAUCUCUCCGUUUAAAAAAAAAAAAAAAAAAAAAAAUCGAUUCGUCGAGUGAAAUUUUUGCCAAGUAAUUUCUAGAUUUUUUGCUAAAUUGCCAAGUAUUUCCAUUUAUAUUUUGCCACUUCGUUGCGUAUGUCAUCGAGUCACAGAUAUUUGGCAAUGUGGUUUCUUCAGUUUAGUUUCUUCCGCAAUUCUUCAAUUUUUAGACGUUAGACGUUAGAUUUCUAUCGUUUUCCGCGUAUCUCGUCCAUAGAAAGAAAAUCGCGAAAAUUACGAGAAUGUAUACGAUUUAAUCAAAUAUCUCGAUUUGCUGGAGAAUUUGUAACGCGAUGCAACAGCAACAUCGUGUUUCUAAUAUUACAUGCGUUGUCCGUGUUUUAUGAACUUCCCUUCCGCGUUAAAAAUAAACGUUUAUUUUUUUUUUUUUUCAAAGGGUUCAGGAAUAUUUUCACCGCUAUUUCCACAAUUUAUAACAUCCCUCUUAGCCUAUUCAUGACAAGACACCUACCCCAUUCGUCUAACCUUUUAUUUCGAAGCUCGUCGAACUAUUUGUUCCAACGAAUCACUUCGAAUUUCCAAAUUGAUCCAAAAAUUUGCUU